ensembl:lncRNA
UCUAGUGUGCUAAGGCUCUGUCAUCCGCUAUUGCCUGUUUUCUGUUUAUAGACGCAUCUAUCAUUUACAGGGGCUAUGAAAGCCAUCUUUAUAAAGCAUUCAUCUCUGUUUUCUUGUCCAUCCUCAUUUCAGGGUUAUGCUGUUUUACUGUGGUAAAAUGUAACGAAGUCCUUAAAGUUCUUUGAUGAAAUGAUUAUUACUAUAGUUUAUGGUUUAUUUUGUCAUCUCUGUUUUCAACAGGAUUGAUUCAGUUCUAGUCUAGUGUUUACAGAAUUUCCACACUCAUUUUGAAGUCCCUCAAGAAUAAAUGUGACAGGGUGAAGGGAGAAGUCUUAACUGAACAAGGAGCUUUUGCUACUACAGCCUUAAGAAAUGGACCCUCGCAGGGCCUUUGUGGUGAAAAUAUACCAGAAGCAUGAGUUCCAGGAGAUUCAGACUGCCCUGACUAUUAAGCAAAGACAGGGCACCUUUGCAGUUUGUGCCAUGUGCUAUCCACUCUCCAAAUUACUAAUUUAAUUCUCAGACCAACUUUAUGAGGUACUUGCACUCUAAUUUUUCUCAUAAUCCUAAUAAGGUAUAAAUGAGGUUAUAUUACUUGCCCGUAUAACUAUGACAUAUAUAUGUGUGUGUGUGUGUGUGUGUGUGUGUAUUAUAUAUAUAUAAUGGAACUUCAAGUGGAACUCAGUGUAUUUCUAGAACACAGGCACCAUGCUGCCUCAUUCUUCACCUGCGUGCUCAAGAUCAGGUGGACUAGCUGAAUAUUGCUAGUGGAAACUCACGUGCAAUCUUUAAGUAUGAAUUAUUCAGCCAGGUGGGACAGAGAGGGCAUAAGUAAGUUCCUAGAGAAUGUGGGGGCUGUGCAGCUUUAUCUGUUGGCUUGUGGACUCAGUAUUUCUUAGUCCCUUACUCAUAAUAUGCCUCAGUCUCCUAUAUUUUUACACUGCCUCUCCCUUCUUACAUGAUUCCUGGUUUUAUUGGUAAGUAUCUCUGUCAUAUUUCUUCCAUAUUUAUUUUUCUUAUCCAAAGAAUUCACCAGUCAAGAGGUUGUAGAAGCCUCACUAUUAUGGUCAUGCAGGGUGAGUGAUUCCAAACAAAAUUCAAGUAUCCUAGCUCCCCUGAGGCCACCCUAGUAAUGCAGGGGAAAGAGGGCUCAGAUGACCAAACAACCAAAGAAAAAGAUGAGAUGGGUCACUCGCAAAAACUGUACUGACAGUACCAAAAAAUGAGCUUUGAAUAGUAGCUAAGCUGCUAUCAAGGAGAGGUUUUUAACUUGAGCCUGAAAAGCUUUUAAAACUUUGUUCUAGUAUAUACUACCUAAUGUUGUGAAAUGGCCUGUUUUUAUUCAAAUAGUAUUUUGAACAAUGAUAAUAAAACUCAAGAGACACCGUGGAAUAAGAAUUAGCAGAUUAUAAAAUGGUUUUAGUGAUAAAGAAUACUUAACAAUCUUGACUGCUUCUUACCAGCUGUGCAAUCUGGAGAAAGUUACUUAAAUUUUCUGUACCUCAACUUUUUUUUUAUAUGAGAAAUGGGUACAGCACCAUUGAUUAUACAGGGUUGUUCUAAUGACCAAAUGGAAUCUGGACAAAGAACUUGAAACAUAGCUGGGAUAUUUAAAGUGGCAUGUGUGAAAAUAGGACUUAUGUGUGUUCAUGUACUUGAGAAGAGCUUGCACAAGAAUUUAGUACUCCACGAAGUUUUUCUCUUUGAAAUCUUUGGAACUUGUGUUAAAGUAACAUUAGUUUAUGAAUUUGUGUAGCAUGGGGGCACAUUACCUUUGUAGUCAUAAUUUCAAGAAGAUGAAAUAAGUUUUUCAACCAAAGUCAUUCAGCUUAAACUAACAAUGUGUUAUUUAAUUCCUGAUAUAUAGUAAGCAACAACAAAAACAUGUAUUAUUUGUGAUUAUGUCUACAUGAGGAAAAUAAGAAAUAAAAUGAUGUUUAAAAAAGGA